rnacentral:snRNA from 1 species
AUACCUUUCUCGGCCUUUUGGCUAAGAUCAAGUGUAGUAUCUGUUCUUAUCAGUUUAAUAUCUGAUAUGUGGGCCAUUGGCUCACACGAUAUUAAAUUUAUUUUUUGAGGGGGAAGAUCCAAUGUGUAGCUUGCUACUCGGGCCUUCGAGUGUUGCCCAUGCGUUGCACUACAGCAUGGGCUUGGCGCACCCCAA